rnacentral:rRNA from 1 species
GAUGAACGCUGGCGGCGUGCCUAAUACAUGCAAGUCGAGCGAAUGGAUUAAGAGCUUGCUCUUAUGAAGUUAGCGGCGGACGGGUGAGUAACACGUGGGUAACCUGCCCAUAAGACUGGGAUAACUCCGGGAAACCGGGGCUACUACCGGAUAACACUUUGCACCGCAUGGUUCGAAAUUGAAAGGCGGCUCCGGCUGGCACCGAUGGAGGGACCCGCGUCGAAUUCGCUAGUUGGGGAGGUAACGGCUCACCAAGGCAACGAUGCGUAGCCGACCUGAGAGGGUGAUCGGCCACACUGGGACUGAGACACGGACCAGACUCCUACGGGAGGCAGCAGUAGGGAAUCUUCCGCAAUGGACGAAAGUCUGACGGAGCAACGCCGCGUGAGUGAUGAAGGCUUUCGGGUCGUAAAACUCUGUUGUUAGGGAAGAACAAGUGCUAGUUGAAUAAGCUGACACCUUGACGGUACCUAACCAGAAAGCCACGGCUAACUACGUGCCAGCAGCCGCGGUAA